rnacentral:rRNA from 1 species
UACAGGGGGGGGCAAGCGUUUGUUCGGAAUUACUGGGCGUAAAGAGCUCGUAGGUGGUUUGUCGCGUUGUCCGUGAAAACUCACAACUCAAUUGUGGGCGUGCGGGCGAUACGGGCAGACUGGAGUACUGCAGGGGAGACUGGAAUUCCUGGUGUAGCGGUGGAAUGCGCAGAUAUCAGGAGGAACACCGGUGGCGAAGGCGGGUCUCUGGGCCGAUACUGACGCUGAGGAGCGAAAGCGUGGGGAGCGAACAGG